rnacentral:rRNA from 1 species
UACGGAGGGAGCUAGCGUUGUUCGGAAUUACUGGGCGUAAAGCGCGCGUAGGCGGCUUUGUAAGUUAGAGGUGAAAGCCCGGGGCUCAACUCCGGAACUGCCUUUAAGACUGCAUCGCUUGAAUCCGGGAGAGGUGAGUGGAAUUCCGAGUGUAGAGGUGAAAUUCGUAGAUAUUCGCAAGAACACCAGUGGCGAAGGCGGCUCACUGGCCCGAUACUGACGCUGAG